rnacentral:rRNA from 1 species
GUUAUAUAGUCAAGUGACUAAGUGCAUACGGUGGAUGCCUUGGCAGUCAGAGGCGAUGAAGGACGUGGAAGCCUGCGAAAAGCUUCGGGGAGCUGGCAAACGAGCUAUGAUCCGGAGAUGUCCGAAUGGGGGAACCCACCUGGUUUACCAGGUAUCGCGAUACUGAAUACAUAGGUAUUGCGAAGCGAACGCGGAGAACUGAAACAUCUAAGUACCCGUAGGAAAAGAAAUCAACCGAGAUUCCCUAAGUAGCGGCGAGCGAACGGGGACUAGCCCAAAAGUCUGGUGAAGGAUAAAGGAACACUUUGGAAAGAGUGGCCAUAGAGAGUGAUAGCCUCGUACUUGAAAUCCGAAUCAGAUGAAAAAUGAGUAGGUCGGGACACGUGUUAUCCUGAUUGAAUAUGGGGGGACCAUCCUCCAAGGCUAAAUACUCCUGACUGACCGAUAGUGAACCAGUACCGUGAGGGAAAGGCGAAAAGAACCCCUGUGAGGGGAGUGAAAUAGACCCUGAAACCGUAUGCGUACAAGCAGUGGGAGCAGACUUGUUCUGUGACUGCGUACCUUUUGUAUAAUGGGUCAGCGACUUACGUUUAGUGGCAAGGUUAACCAUUUAGGGGAGCCGUAGGGAAACCGAGUCUGAAUAGGGCGAACAGUCGCUAGGCGUAGACCCGAAACCGAGUGAUCUAUCCAUGGGCAGGGUGAAGGUUGAGUAACAUCAACUGGAGGCCCGAACCCACUCCCGUUGAAAAGGUAGGGGAUGACUUGUGGAUAGGAGUGAAAGGCUAAUCAAACUCGGAGAUAGCUGGUUCUCCCCGAAAACUAUUUAGGUAGUGCCUCGUGUAUCACUUCUGGGGGUAGAGCACUGUUUGGGCUAGGGGGUCAUCCCGACUUACCAACCCCAUGCAAACUCCGAAUACCAGAAAGUGCAAGCACGGGAGACACACGGCGGGUGCUAACGUCCGUCGUGAAGAGGGAAACAACCCAGACCGCCAGCUAAGGUCCCAAAGUCCAUGUUAAGUGGGAAACGAUGUGGGAAGGCUAAGACAGCUAGGAGGUUGGCUUAGAAGCAGCCAUCCUUUAAAGAAAGCGUAAUAGCUCACUAGUCGAGUCGGCCUGCGCGGAAGAUGUAACGGGGCUCAAACAUGGCACCGAAGCUGCGGAUAUUAAUUUAUUAAUAUGGUAGGGGAGCGUUCUGUAGGCUGUUGAAGCGGAAUUGAGAAGUUCCGUGGAGGUAUCAGAAGUGCGAAUGCUGACAUAAGUAACGAUAAAGGGGGUGAAAAACCUCCUCGCCGGAAGACCAAGGUUUCCUGCGCAACGUUAAUCGGCGCAGGGUGAGUCGGCCCCUAAGGCGAGGCCGAAAGGCGUAGUCGAUGGGAAACAGGUUAAAAUUCCUGUACCUCGUAUUAUUGCGAUGGGGGGACGGAGAAGGCUAGGCCAGCCGGGUGAUGGUUAUCCCGGUUUAAGGAAGUAGGGAGAGGACUUAGGAAAAUCCGGGUUCUUAAUUCUGAGAUCUGAUGACGAAGUCGAGCGUGCUCGAUGAAGUGGUUGAUGCCAAGCUUCCAAGAAAAGCCUCUAAGCUUCAGAUAAUACGGGACCGUACCCCAAACCGACACAGGUGGUCAGGUAGAGAAUACUAAGGCGCUUGAGAGAACUCGGGUGAAGGAACUAGGCAAAAUAGUGCCGUAACUUCGGGAGAAGGCACGCCGGCUAGUGUGAAGGACUUGCUCCGUAAGCAUUGGCUGGUCGAAGAUACCAGGUGGCUGCGACUGUUUAUUAAAAACACAGCACUCUGCUAACACGAAAGUGGACGUAUAGGGUGUGACGCCUGCCCGGUGCCGGAAGGUUAAUUGAUGGGGUUAGCGCAAGCGAAGCUCUUGAUCGAAGCCCCGGUAAACGGCGGCCGUAACUAUAACGGUCCUAAGGUAGCGAAAUUCCUUGUCGGGUAAGUUCCGACCUGCACGAAUGGCGUAACGAUGGCCACGCUGUCUCCACCCGAGACUCAGUGAAAUUGAAAUCGCAGUGAAGAUGCUGUGUAUCCGCGGCUAGACGGAAAGACCCCGUGAACCUUUACUAUAGCUUCACAGUGAACUUUGAUACUACUUGUGUAGGAUAGCUGGGAGGCUUUGAAGCGGUGACGCCAGUCAUCGUGGAGCCGACCUUGAAAUACCAGCCUGGUAUUGUUGAGGUUCUAACUCUGACCCGUGAUCCGGGUCGAGGACACUGUGUGGUGGGUAGUUUGACUGGGGCGGUCUCCUCCCAAAGAGUAACGGAGGAGCACGAAGGUGCGCUAAGUACGGUCGGACAUCGUACGGUUAGUGUAAAGGCAUAAGCGCGCUUAACUGCGAGACGGACAGGUCGAGCAGGUACGAAAGUAGGUCUUAGUGAUCCGGUGGUUCUGAAUGGAAGGGCCAUCGCUCAACGGAUAAAAGGUACUCCGGGGAUAACAGGCUGAUACCGCCCAAGAGUUCACAUCGACGGCGGUGUUUGGCACCUCGAUGUCGGCUCAUCACAUCCUGGGGCUGAAGCCGGUCCCAAGGGUAUGGCUGUUCGCCAUUUAAAGUGGUACGCGAGCUGGGUUUAGAACGUCGUGAGACAGUUCGGUCCCUAUCUGCCGUGGACGUUGGAGAUUUGAGGAGAGCUGCUCCUAGUACGAGAGGACCGGAGUGGACGAACCUCUGGUGUUCGGGUUGUCACGCCAGUGGCAUUGCCCGGUAGCUAUGUUCGGACAGGAUAACCGCUGAAAGCAUCUAAGCGGGAAGCCCCCUCCAAGAUGAGAUCUCCCUGAGACAUAAGUCUCCUGUAGGGCCCUUGAAGACCACGAGGUUGAUAGGCUGGGUGUGUAAGCGUUGUAAGGCGUUGAGCUAACCAGUACUAAUUGCCCGAGAGGCUUGACUAUAUAACGCCCAAAUGGUUUUUAG